GUUUCAUAUUAAAGAACCUUUGGCUUAUUAAAAAUAGGUAGUGGGUUUAUUAGGUAUAAAACGAAACA
rnacentral:tRNA from 1 species